rfam:Sphaerochaeta globosa str. Buddy, complete genome.
GCGCCAAUAGCUCAGUUGGAUAGAGCAACUGCCUUCUAAGCAGUAGGUCGUAGGUUCGAUUCCUACUUGGCGUA